CGUGCCUGUAAUCCCAGCACUUUGGGAGGCUGAGGCAGGAGAAUCGCUCAAACCCAGGAGGUGGAGGUUAAGAUAAGCUGAGAGUGUACCAUUGCACCCCAACAUGGGUAACAAGAGCAAAAUUCUGUCUAAAAAAAAA